AGGGGGUCUGAGAGGAUAGUCCCCCACACUGGUACUGAGACACGGACCAGACUCCUACGGGAGGCAGCAGUGAGGAAUAUUGGUCAAUGGGCGAAAGCCUGAACCAGCCAUGUCGCGUGCAGGAUGACGGCCCUAUGGGUUGUAAACUGCUUUUUUACAGGAAUAAUUGCAGAUACGUGUAUUUGUUUGAAUGUACUGUAUGAAUAAGGAUCGGCUAACUCCGUGCCAGCAGCCGCGGUAAUACGGAGGAUUCGAGCGUUAUCCGGAUUUAUUGGGUUUAAAGGGUCCGUAGGCGGUUCUUUAAGUCAGUGGUGAAAUCCCAGAGCUCAACUCUGGAACUGCCAUUGAAACUGAAGAACUUGAAUAUGGUUGAGGUAGGCGGAAUACGUUAUGUAGCGGUGAAAUGCAUAGAUAUAACGUAGAACACCAAUUGCGAAGGCAGCUUACUAAGCCAUUAUUGACGCUGAUGGACGAAAGCGUGGGGAGCGAACAGGAUUAGAUACCCUGGUAGUCCACGCCGUAAACGAUGAUUACUCGUUGUGCACAAUACACCGUGCGUGACGAGCGAAAGCAUUAAGUAAUCCACCUGGGGAGUACGUUCGCAAGAAUGAAACUCAAAGGAAUUGACGGGGGCCCGCACAAGCGGAGGAACAUGUGGUUUAAUUCGAUGAUACGCGAGGAACCUUACCUGGACUUAAAUGUAGAUUGACUGGCUUGGAAACAGGUCUUCUCUUCGGAGCAAUUUACAAGGUGCUGCAUGGUUGUCGUCAGCUCGUGCCGUGAGGUGUCGGGUUAAGUCCCAUAACGAGCGCAACCCCUAUCGUUAGUUGCUAGCAGGUAAUGCUGAGGACUCUAAUGAGACUGCCACCGUAAGGUGAGAGGAAGGUGGGGAUGACGUCAAAUCAGCACGGCCCUUACGUCCAGGGCUACACACGUGUUACAAUGGCCAGUACAAAGGGCAGCUACCUGGUGACAGGAUGCUAAUCUCAAAAGCUGGUCUCAGUUCGGAUCGGAGUCUGCAACUCGACUCCGUGAAGUUGGAUUCGCUAGUAAUCGUAUAUCAGCAAUGAUACGGUGAAUACGUUCCCGGGCCUUGUACACACCGCCCGUCAAGCCAUGGAAGCCGAGGGUGCCUGAAGUACGUUACCGCAAGGAGCGUCCUAGGGUAAAAUUGGUAACUGGGGCUAAGUCGUAACAAGGUA
rnacentral:rRNA from 1 species